CCGGCAGAAAAGCCAGGUCUGUGAGGUCAUGGAGCUCUGGGGCCCUUCUCCCCUGCCUUGGGCACUGUGUUUUGUUUUGUUUUGUUUUUGUUUUUGCUUUUUGGUGUUUUUUGCCUUCAAAGAGGAAGGAAUGGAUGAACAGGCAAGAGAAGAACAGAGGGGAGGAGGCUGGGAAGCCAGCCCACCACUCUCCCGUAUUUGGGAGUCAAUACGCCCUCCUCCACUCCCCGUGACCCUUGCUAGUGAGGAUGGACUGAGCAAAGGAGCCUUCAGAGUCACAGGACACACUCCCAAAACAGAUGCCAGGGCAUCAGCUCUGGGUCUGGAGAAGAGGACUUUCCUGCAAGGGACACUGGUUGUCCAUUCCGGAAGAGAAGACUCCCCACGGCCUGUUCUGCGCUGGUUCUCACCGACUGAGAAACACUCCAAAUUUGUGCCCAAGUCUAUACGGAGAAGCACGUAAAAGUUCUUGUCCCUGUUCUUUUCAUCAUAAAUCCUACUACAAGGACAACCAAA